rnacentral:rRNA from 1 species
UGAUCCAGCGACGCCGCGUGAGUGAAGAAGGCCUUCGGGUUGUAAAGCUCUUUCGGUGGGGAAGAUAAUGACCGUGCUAAUACCUCAGGGUCUUGACAUCUCCCUGACAACAAGCACCGGCUAACUCUGUGCCAUCAGCCUCGGUAAUACUUGCUGGUGCGUAGCGUUAAUCUGAAUUACUGGGCGUAUAGCGCGCGUAAGCCGCUUUCUAAGUCCGGUGUGAAAUCCCCAGGCUGAACCUGGGAACUGCAUUAGAGACUGGAUGGCUUGAGUGUGGGAGAGGGAAGUGGAAUUUCCUGUGUAGCAGUGAAAUGCGUAAAUGUCGGAAGGAACAUCAGUGGCGAAAGUGACUUCCUGGACCAAUACUGACACUCAUGUUCGAAAGCGUGGGGAGCAAACAGGAUUAAAUACCCUGGUAGUCCACGCCAUAAACUAUGAGAACUGGAUGUCGGGAGGGUCUGCCUCUCGGUGUCGUAGCUAACCCGUUAAGUUCUCCGCCUGGGGAU